GCCAGGUGUCGUGGCACACACCUGCAGUCCUAGCUACUUGGGAGGCUGAGGCAGGAGGAUUGCUUGAGCCCAGGAGGUGGAGGCUGCAGUGAGCCAUGAUUGCAUCACUGCACUCCAGCCUGGGCAAUAGAGUAAGAUCCUGUCUCAA
rfam:Gorilla gorilla gorilla genomic chromosome, chr22, whole genome shotgun sequence